rnacentral:siRNA from 1 species
UAGAGAUGGUACCGGUGGCCAUGU